UGAUAGCGUAGAAGCGCGAGGUUGCUGCAGAUUCUGCAGGUUUUCCGUGGAGCGAAUGUCAAGUUAUGAAACUGGCGACAA
rnacentral:ncRNA from 1 species